GGAGAAGAGUGCGGCUGAAUGUGAACGACAUGUCGACAGUCAGCCUCUAAAGUGUUUUCUCGGUCGUUCCCUAAUUCUUUGGCGGCGGACUGAGUGAGUAUUACCCGCGUCCCUGCUCUGCUAAGCGUCGCUGUGUGGAUCAGAGAGGCUGCCGGGGAGAGACAGACAAUGGGGAAUGCAAUUGGAUUGCGUUACUCUGCCAAGGAUUUUCAUACAUAGCCUGUGCGGUGAAGGGCCGAUGCCGGGCUUCAGCCCCAGGCUGCUGAGCUGAGAGGAAGAAGCAGGAGGAUGCAGUGGGUCGCCCUGGCAGUGGCCCUGGGGUGUGUGUGUCUGUCCCAAGCGUCACACACCCCCACCCCUACCCCCACUUCCACACACACUCCUCUGGUGGACAACUCAGAGGAGGAAGUGGACGAGCCGUGCUUCGAGCCGUGCACGUGCGAGGUCAAAGAAGGUGUGCUGCACGUGCACUGCGAUGGGCGGAGCUUCACUAAUGUCACUCAGGUGUCACAGUCGUGGGUCCGCCCUUUUAAACUCAACCUCCAGAGGAACUCUCUGAGGCGUCUCUAUAGCAACGGGUUUCAGCACCUUGGCAACGCAGUGUCGAUAAACCUUGGCAACAAUGCACUCCAGGACAUCAAAGUGGGAGCUUUCCACGGGUUGGCCAAACUCAGACGACUGUACCUCCACGAGAACAAGCUGGAGGUCUUCAGAAACGACACCUUCGCUGGCUUGGAGGCUUUGGAAUACCUCCAGGCCGACUACAACGUGAUCAAACGAAUCGACAGCGGUGCUCUGAGGUUCCUUUACAAGCUCCGGGUGCUCAUCCUCAACGACAACCUGAUCCCCAUAUUGCCUGCUCAUCUGUUCAGAUCCGUGUCUCUGACUCAUCUGGACCUGCGGGGAAACCGUCUGAAGAGCCUGGCAUAUGCUGGGACCCUGGAGUAUGUCGGUCGCUCCCUAAUGGAGCUGCAGCUGGAGGAGAAUCCCUGGAACUGUGGAUGCGAGGCGGUGCAGCUUCAGCAGUGGCUAGGUCAGAUCCCCUACACGGCUGUAGUUGGGGACGUUACCUGCGAAUAUCCCUUCCACCUUCACGGCAAAGACCUGAGGGAAAUUCCCCGCAAGGAGCUGUGUGCUGACCUCCCGGAUAAAGAGAUACAAGCCGAGGGGGGUGGACCGUCAGCUGGAUCACAGCCCCAACAUUUACCCCCAAACUCUAAACCCAACUCCCAUCCGGGGCGAGUCCGGCCGACUAAACCCUCCUCCAUGGUCCAUGGCUCCCGCCAGAACACGCACACCUCGUCAACCUCCUCGUCAUCGUCGUCAGCAGAGAGGAAAGAGAGGGAGAGGCAACCGAGGCCGACUAAAAAGCCUCGACCCUCCAGAACAUCCCCCACACCUCGCAGUCUGAUGCCCAACCAGAAUCCCCCUGUGGCUGGCUACCAGACAAGGCCCCCCAUCCCCAUCAUUUGUCCCCUUGGCUGCACUUGCAACCUGCACAUCACAGACCUGGGUCUAACCGUCAACUGCAAGGAGAACGGCUUCCUGAACGUUUCCCAGCUCACACCUCGGCCCCUCAAUGGCCGCAAACUGUACCUGAGUGGAAACUUAAUCCAGAGGAUCUAUCGCACGGACUUCUGGAAUUUUUCCAGCCUCGACCUGCUUCACCUGGGGAACAACCGCAUCUCGUACCUCCAGGAGGGGGCUUUCUCCAGCCUCACGAGCCUGCGGAGCCUCUACCUGAAUGGGAACAACCUGGAGAGGCUCAGCCCCCACAUGUUCCUAGGGCUGCAGGAUCUGAGGUACCUUUAUUUCGAGUACAACGAGAUCCAUGAGAUAGAUCCCGGGACCUUCAACUCCAUGCCGUCCCUGCAGCUGUUGUUCCUAAAUGCCAACCUGCUGCGGAGCCUCCCGCUCGGUGUGUUUUCUGGAGUUAAUCUGGCUCGACUCAAUCUGAGAAACAACCACCUUCUGCAGCUUCCUAUGGAGGGCGUGCUGGAACACCUCACCGGACUGGUACAGGUGGACCUGCAGCAGAACCCGUGGGAGUGCAGCUGUGAUGCAGCGCCACUGAAGCGUUGGCUGGAGGGGCUCAGCGCGGUGGUGGUGAUGGGAGAGGUGGUCUGCCAUUCCCCGGAAAAGACCAAAGGAGUCGACCUCCGCUCCCUCUCCAUGGAGCUGCUGUGCCCUGAGCUGGAGCCCCAGGAGGACGAGGAGCCGGAGGAGCAGACCGCCACCUCCACGGAUGCAGCCAGCGGUGUAUCGGUCAUCUACCCCGGCUCAGGGCUGGGCCCUCUGAUCCCCCCGGGGAAGGAUUCAAUCCCUCUUUCGGUGUUAGUGCUCAGCCUGCUGGUGUUGUUUGUGUCGGCAUUCUUCGCAGCGGCUGCACUAAUCGCCUACGCCCUGAGGAGGAGGGACAAGCUGCCGUUCCGUCGCCAGGGAGAGGUAGACUUGGCCGGCAUCCAGAUGGAGUGUGGCAUCUUCACCGAGCAGACGCACCACCACCAUCACCACCAUCACCACGGCCUCCAGGAGACGCCGCACCUGCCCGCGGCCGAAAACAACCACGUCUACGACACCAUCCUUCCCCAGGAGGCGGCUUCAAAGGGUCCCUGCCCGGCCGCAGCCCCACACAUGUGUAGCAACCCCAUCUACAAGGAGGAGCAGGAGGUGAAGCAGCGGUCACAGCAGACGUUUGCAGCUUCCAAAGAGAGCGAGGGAGUAUACUGCUCUGCAGCGGAGAAGGAGAGGGAGUGGACUCUUGAGGUUUCCUCGUCGCCCAUCAACACUGUCACAGGAGCGAUGGGACCGCUGCCCGGCCUCCACGGGAACGGCAUCCUCUGCCCCACAGUGAUCGACAGCCAAGGCCCCACCCCUAAGGUGGAACUGGUAGACUGCCUUUUCAGACUCCCAGCUCCUGAGUUCAGAGACCUGCCAGACAGGUACGCGAGGCCACCGCCCCGCUACCCUCACCCCCAAGACUCCAAACAGGAAGCCAGACCCGACCAAACGUUGGUGGUCUCCACUGGCAGCUCCAUGGCAGGCGGGAGCAGUCAGAGCGAGCAGGGAGCGGGAGAUCAAAGAGCCAGACUGAGGACCACACCUGACUACAUGGAGGUGCUGGACAGGUCCUACCAGUUUUAAAACUCCCUAUCCUCUUCCUCAUAUUCCUGCUGCCCCUCUUCUCUUGUCUCUUCAUCAUCUCCCCCUCUGGCGAUGAAUCAUCGGUAACAAUGACUCCUGUACAGAAGCUGCUGUGGCUUUGAGAGGAGCCUGUGGGAGAGCGGGACUACACUACACACGUUUAUUCCUGGAUAACAAGCUGAGGUCAGUUUUUGUAUUUCCCCCCCCACUACUGGCGUAUAGGUUGGUAUUUGGCAAAGGAUUAGCUGAUCCCAGAUCUCUGCCUGGAGGCCAAACUUCAGCUGCAGCUACUACAGAAUCUUUUCUCUCUGUUACGCUUCACAAUCAUAAAGUACAGAGGCUCCAUUUUUUUCUAUUCGCCACAAUGAGCAGGAAACAGUGUGCUGGUGGGCGUCAAUGUUCAUAAUAUCAGCUCUUUGCAACAUCAAACACAGAGUCAUAAACUGUGACAGCCAGAAGGUGUGGAGCACACUGGGCGUAAGAUGGAGAAGCGACAGAGACAAAGCGAGAAUGAGAGAAACGACUAAAAACAGCCAAGUGCCUUAGCAAUGAACAGCCAGCAGUGUGGUCAAUGCUUAUUUUUCUAUGAAUACAGAUCUAUUUAUCUAAACAAAGAGGUUUGACUACCAACGGAUGGGACGCUGAUGGACGACUGAGACUGAAACCAAUCAAAGCCGCCGAAUAAUUGCAUUCCCUGGAUGAGCCAAAAAUAAUAAUAUACCCAGUCAAUUAUUGGAGUUGUUUGUAUGCAGUUCAGUUCAUUUUCAUCUCAUCCAGUUAACUUAAUUUGCUUAUCCAGCCGAUCUACAGGGCUAGAAGAGGGACAUAUCCAGGAAUAGUUGGUUGCUGUGUGAAAUUUUGAAAAGGUUCUGUUUUUUGGAUGAAAGGAUACAGAGAUUAUUUUUUUUAAUGCAAGAAAAAACAAAGGAAGGCCGACAAACAGAAGGACUUUGUGGCAAUGGAUGCAUUUUGGAUUUCUUAAUCAGCUAGACUUAAUGAGGCCACAAGGACCUCUGCUCCCUUUUUUCUUUCAUCGGACAAAAGGCACAGACGCUACUGUAUUGAUUUUUAAUUAUUUCUCAGAGGAAAAUUGAAUGGCAAAAAACAAACAAUGGACAAAAAACACACAGGACGCAAAGGCAUUUUUUUGUCAAAAAAAAAAAGACAGACACUUCUAUCAACUAUCGAUUAUUAUCUUUUACGGAGUGACCCCAUUACUGAGCGUUGGUGCUGCGGAGCGCAGGAGGAAGAGGAGGAGAGGGAAGGAGGAGCAGGAGGAGGAGAAGAUGGGAGGAUGGAUUGCGUUGUGUGUGUUGAACGGGAUGAUUAAUGAGCGUCGCCUCCAGAGGGUGUUAUCCCUGCUCCGGACCAGCAGGGACACCAC